rnacentral:rRNA from 1 species
GACGAACGCUGGCGGCGUGCCUAAUACAUGCAAGUCGAACGAACCGCGACUGAGUGCUUGCACUUGGUCAAGGUGAGUGGCGAACGGGUGAGUAACACGUGGGUAACCUACCUCAUAGUGGGGGAUAACAGUCGGAAACGACUGCUAAUACCGCAUAGGACAUGGAAUCACAUGAUUCUGUGAGGAAAGGUGGCGCAAGCUAUCGCUAAGAGAUGGACCCGCGGUGCAUUAGCUAGUUGGUAGGGUAAGGGCCUACCAAGGCGAUGAUGCAUAGCCGACCUGAGAGGGUGAUCGGCCACAUUGGGACUGAGACACGGCCCAAACUCCUACGGGAGGCAGCAGCAGGGAAUCUUCCGCAAUGGACGCAAGUCUGACGGAGCAACGCCGCGUGAGUGAAGAAGGUCUUCGGAUCGUAAAGCUCUGUUGUUAGAGAAGAACAGCGCAUAGAGUAACUGUUAUGCGUGUGACGGUAUCUAACCAGAAAGCCACGGCUAACUACGUG